AUUGAACGCUGGCGGCAGGCCUAACACAUGCAAGUCGAGCGGAUGAGUGGAGCUUGCUCCAUGAUUCAGCGGCGGACGGGUGAGUAAUGCCUAGGAAUCUGCCUGGUAGUGGGGGACAACGUUUCGAAAGGAACGCUAAUACCGCAUACGUCCUACGGGAGAAAGUGGGGGAUCUUCGGACCUCACGCUAUCAGAUGAGCCUAGGUCGGAUUAGCUAGUUGGUGAGGUAAAGGCUCACCAAGGCGACGAUCCGUAACUGGUCUGGGAGGAUGAUCAGUCACACUGGAACUGAGACACGGCCCAGACUCCUACGGGAGGCAGCAGUGGGGAAUAUUGGACAAUGGGCGAAAGCCUGAUCCAGCCAUGCGGCGUGUGUGAAGAAGGUCUUCGGAUUGUAAAGCACUUUAAGUUGGGAGGAAGGGCAGUAAGUUAAUACCUUGCUGUUUUGACGUUACCAACAGAAUAAGCACCGGCUAACUUCGUGCCAGCAGCCGCCGUAACAC
rnacentral:rRNA from 1 species